rnacentral:rRNA from 1 species
UGGGGAAUAUUGCACAAUGGGCGCAAGCCUGAUGCAGCCAUGCCGCGUGUGUGAAGAAGGCCUUCGGGUUGUAAAGCACUUUCAGCGGGGAGGAAGGCGAUAAGGUUAAUAACCUUGUCGAUUGACGUUACCCGCAGAAGAAGCACCGGCUAACUCCGUGCCAGCAGCCGCGGUAAUACGGAGGGUGCAAGCGUUAAUAGGAAUUACUGGGCGUAAAGCGCACGCAGGCGGUCUGUCAAGUCGGAUGUGAAAUCCCCGGGCUUAACCUGGGAACUGCAUUCUAAACUGGCAGGCUAGAGUCUUGUAGAGGGGGGUAGAAUUCCAGGUGUAGCGGUGAAAUGCGUAGAGAUCUGGAGGAAUACCGGUGGCGAAGGCGGCCCCCUGGACAAAGACUGACGCUCAGGUGCGAAAGCGUGGGGAGCAAACAGG